CCUCUGCACGGGUUUUGAUAAAUCUCCCCCUAUAUGACUGUUGAGCUUAUUCAAAUGAUUGGAGUGCGGCACAAACGUGGUGUGAAUAUACCCUCUGAACUUGUACGGAGCCGUACCUAUAUACCUUAUAUACCUUAUAAGUCCUGAAUGUGUUAUGGUCUGAAGACAUUACUAUUGCAUAAGUCCUGCUUGUCAUCAUUUAUUCACAUCUCCAAAAGAAAACGGUAAAAAGAAAGUAUAGGUGCAGGCGCUUUUAAAUAUUCUGCCAAAUUUCUGCCUAAUUUGUACUUUUGUAGCCUUGAUGAUUCCAAUAUUCACAAGAGGCAGAGUACACUGCUCAUCUCAUAACAAAUUCAGCCAAAUUUGUGCGAGAAGACAAAGGCAAGGUCAGUGGUUUUGAGGACUCGCAAAAAAGCAUCAGGUUGCAGAGUAAGACAUGUCUUUUCAGAAAACAAAAAAUAAACCGAGCGAUCUAUCAAUCAAUAUGGAAUUAUUUUUUGCCCUUGCAAGUGCCGCUCUAGGUGCAUGCUCUUCUUUUUUGUAGCUUUCGCAGGAUGUGUGUUAGAAAGAGAGAGACCGAAAAAACCUUGGCGAUGUACCUGCAAGCUUAGCCAGUCUGCCUGAUGAAGUUGAUCUGCACUGUUCCUCAAAGGCCCAGUGAUCAUCCUACAAACAAGAAAAUGCUUGCUCAUUAUCUGAUUGCAUCUAAGCUAGUUAAAAAAAAACACAUCAUUCAUUGGCCACACAUCUCCCAGUGUAACAGGAGACAACCAGUCGAAAAUGAUGAAGGUGAAGAGGAAUGAAUGAACCAGCAAUUGUCUGUGCCACCCUGCAGCAUGAUAGUAAAGCCAUGUAAUAGGCUCCUCAAACUACCGCUAAUAUAUUUGAUCAGCGCUCACAUCAGACAGCAGUCUGUUGUGUGAAUAAAAAGGACUAGUAGAUAUACAUUAUCAAAAGGAAAUGAUGUUCACAUGAAGUCACCAGCUUUAACUCUUGUUUUGGACAACUUUUUUGAAUGUAUGAUAGUGUGAUGUAAAUUUUAGCUAUUGUAACUAUUUGAUGAAAACUUUUAUAUCCAGAGAAAAACCUGUAUAAACCUAAUACUUCUCACAGUCACGAAGGUUCAUCAGUACAUGUAAUCUACCCUGUUUCCCUGAAAAUAAGACAUACCCAUACAAGAAGCCAUAGCAGAAUUUCUAAGCAUUGGCGUAAUAUAAGCCAUACCCCGAAAGUCAGACAUAGUGGUGGGCAUGGCUAAGCGUUCUGGCACGGAGGGGUAAAAAAGAUGGGGAGCCCUUCUCAUCUGCCCCAUCGUGACAGCUGCUGUCUAGAAGGUGACCGGAGAGGUGCCGGCAGCCCCAUCAACAAGGUCAGCUCCUCCUAUCAGGUCCUGGUUCUUCUGGUCAUGCUGCCAGCCGCUGCACAGAGGGAGACAGAGAGUGAUAGUGAAAGUCUCCUCAGUGAAGUGAGGAACAGAAAGUUCUGCUUUGUGGGUCCUCGGGGGAAUAAUAAAGCUGUGGCUGCGGUUUUACUCAGCACUCUGGGUCACUCUUACCCAGCACAAACCAGCAACAGUCUGUGGGUCUCUGUAUUGGUGUUCCAUACUUAAUAAAAAUAAGAC